rnacentral:snoRNA from 1 species
UCUGUAUGAUGAUACGCCGAGUGCUGAGCAAAAUGUAGUUGGUCCUUCAUUUGCAUUGGCUGAUGUUUGCUGUUCUUUUCAAGACGGGGCUGAAAGAAGC